rnacentral:rRNA from 1 species
UACAGAGGGUGCGCGCGUUAAUCGGAAUUACUGGGCGUAAAGAGCUCGUAGGCGGCUUGUUGCGUCGACCGUGAAAACCCGGGGCUCAACUUCGGGCUUGCGGUCGAUACGGGCGGGCUAGAGUUCGGUAGGGGAGACUGGAAUUCCUGGUGUAGCGGUGAAAUGCGCAGAUAUCAGGAGGAACACCGGUGGCGAAGGCGGUUCUCUGGGCAUGAUCUGACGCUGAGGAGCGAAAGUGUGGGGAGCGAACAGG